rnacentral:tRNA from 1 species
CGGGGUGUAGCGCAGCCCGGUAGCGCGCCUGCUUUGGGAGCAGGAUGUCGUAGGUUCGAAUCCUAUCACCCCGACCA